rnacentral:rRNA from 1 species
UGGCAUUGCCGGGUAGCUACGUUCGGACAGGAUAACCGCUGAAAGCAUCUAAGCGGGAAGCCCCCUUCAAGAUGAGAUCUCACAGGAGUUUAACUCCCUAAAGAGCCGUUCAAGACUAGGACGUUGAUAGGUUGGGUGUGUAAGCGCGGUAACGUGUUGAGCUAACCAAUACUAAUUGCUCGUGAGGCUUGACCAUAUAACGCCAAAAGCGUUG